rnacentral:tRNA from 1 species
GUCAGUGUAGCAUAGUGGUUUGAGUGUUGAACUGCAACUCUGGAGACCAGGGAUCGAUUCCCAGCUCAUCCA